GAUUAAUGAUAACUUAAACUUGAUAACAAAUUUUUAAUUAUUUUAAAAUAAAAGGUAAAGGUAAUUAUUUAAUGAAAUAAUGAUGAAAAUUACUUUAUGAUUCUUUAUGAUUAUGAAUGUUUGUUUAUUGGAACCAGGAAUUCAUGAAUCCUGAUCUACGAGUAUUAAUCUACUUUGAAGGCAGUUUGGACCCUUGGUAAUCAAAGGAAUUGUUGGGAAUCCAGCACAAUUGUGAUCGAAUUGCCAAUCAUGUUUUUUGCGAUGCUCUGUAUAGGAAUCGCCUCGGUCUAGUCUUUAACUCUUCAUGUAUCAAAACUGAAAGCAGUCCAUGAUAGUUAUAACUACAUAUAACUAUCUUCACCUUAAUUGGUGGUUUUUUCAUGGAAUAAUUCAAGAAAACAGUCAUCGACUUCGCUUUGUUGCACUGCUGAAGAUCAAACAUGAAAGUUUACUCUGUCCUCAGUUUCGAGUUAAAGAAAGUCUUGCUUGUUACGAUUACGAAGUGAGCGUUUGUGAAUAGCACAAUUGAGAAACUGUUGCAGCAGCCUGCUGGUUUUGCCGAAGUAAUCAAUCUACCUACGAGUAUAUUCGCGAAUCUUUCCACAAAAUGGCCGAUCUUCCGAUCCCGACGCCGGAGGAAGUUGAAUACGAGUGGAUAUUUAAUCCGAAAGAAGUGUAUUGCUUGAAAGAUUUAGGGCUGGUAUUACGACACUUUGUCAACGUUCCGUCAAAUGUUGACGGACCGAUGAACAAUAGUAAGGGCUGGUAUUACGACACUCCGUCAAAGCUCCGUCAACAUUUGACGGACCGUUGAACAAUAGUUAACCGGUGCUUCGACCUCGGUUAACGCUCUGUCAACGUUUGACGGAGAGUCGUAAUACCAGCACUUAACCGGUGCUUCGACCUCGGUUAACGCCUUGUCAACGUUUGACGGAGUGUCGUAAUCCCAGCCCCUAGCGUCGGACCAAAUCGUCCAAAUAUUAUGGCGAGAAAAAAUCGAAGAAAAGCGCCGUCGAGGGGUUAUCAACACCGUUUACGAUGACGAACCGCCGACGAUCCUUGUUUUGGAACAUCGUUCCAUUAAAAUCGCUUGGGACAAACCUGUCGAUACGACAAGCAACGAGGAAGAGAAUAUAUCGGCGACAUUGUUGGAAAUCCAGUCAGCGAUGCAGACAUACGCUUGCUUUUUGAAACGAGAAUGUAAAGGUUGGGAUAAAAACUUUGUUUCUGAUAAUUUGUUGAAUCGUCCAGAGGAGCAGAUCACUGUUUUGGAUAGAUUUGCCGAUUUUAUUUAUGAGAACGAUGGUUUCAUUGAUGAAACACGUACAGCCAGGAAAAUGAUAUCUUCUGGUCGUUUCAAUGCUAUAGACUCGUAUGCGAUCGCCUGUUCGCAUUGUUUUGAAGAUGAAAUCCAGCGUUUAUGGCCGUUGGUAUCAAAAGAAAUCUGCGAUAUCUCUGCUGAAGAGCAUUAUCUGGUUUACUAUUGGACACAAGUUAUGAUGAACGAGACAGAAAAGCUCAGAUCCGCUUCAAUGAUGUUCAUCAACUCGUAUAAUGAAUCAGCCAUGCAGUUCUUUUUUGAUAAAAUCGAUUCCGAAAGAAAAGUGAGGGCUGUUGGAGACAUUUUUGGUAUCAUUUUUACUCCAACGGCAUUAUGUACGAGAACUAUAUUGCCAAAACAAAACGAUGAGUUUUUAAAAGCUCUCGUGGGAAGUUAUCCAGGUCCCAAAAUAUUACCUCGAUUGAUAGCGGAUGAAUACAGCCGUUUUUACGUUUUACCAUUUUGGAUGCGAACGAGAGAUUUUUUCACUGGUCAUGAAUUCGUGCAAAUGUUUCUAGAAAUUAUAGACGACGUACCAUCUUACAUGUCUGACCCUUAUUCCGGUAGUUUGGAUGAAGAACAUCGGCUUGAAAAUAUCUUCGAUAUAUACAGCAAAGUUAUUUGGGAUAAUUCGCCGGAGCAGUUGAAACAGUUCGCUAUGAACUAUUUUCAAUUCCAGAGACCAGAUUACUUUGCAGUUUUUAAUUCCAUCAUCACUGGUAAUAGUGAUGAUAAUGCAUGAAUUAUUUCGAUUUGUGUGUUAUUUUUUCGUUUUAUUUUGUUUCUAAUUGUAUGUGAAUUUCUUGCUACCUAUUAUGUAAUGUGAGAUAUCUGUAUUACCUAUACCUACAUAGAAUACCUAUUUUGUAAUUAAGCUGAUAGGAAUUUUUUUAUAAUUGUGAUUCAAAUGAAUGAUUGAUUUUUCAACAUCGAUAUCAAAAUAGGGUAACAUUUUGUAAGAAAUUUGACUUCUUCUACAAAAAUGUUUUUCGAGCAUUUUUGAAGAAUUUAUUCGAGCCUAAAAUUGGGAUUUAAUUUUCGAGAUUUUCGAAAAGGGCAUCGUGCGACUCAUGAAAAUGGGUAAAAAUUUCGAGAGAAACUGAAAUAUUUCAACGAAUGUAUAUUUUGAACAUUUGUAAAGAUCUUUUGGAUUUAUGAAAAAUUUGAGAUGUAACCUAUCAAAAUAGGUUAAAAUUUUCAACAAAACGUUUUUGAGCAGUUUUGAAAAAUUUUGAGCCUAAAAAUGGGUUAAAAUUUCGAAAUACAUAAAAUCGAAAAUUUCCAACAACAUUUUUUUUGAACAGUUUUAAGGAAUUUUAAAGAAAAUUAAAAUCACAACUUGUUGAAAAUUUUAAAAAGUGCAAUUGUCAAAAAUUCUAUUUUUGCCUAAAUUGCUGAUAAAAGCCUUAAUUUUUUGUCAUUCUCUGAUAGUUUUUUUUUUUUCAAAUUGUCAUAUGUCCGAAAUUUGCCCAGCUCGUAGAUACUGCAAAAGUCCUAUUUUUUCCAAAAUUUUCGGAAAGACCCAUUUCUGCCAAAGUUGCCAAAAAAAAGUACCUACUACUGUCAUAGAGUUCUUUUUUUUUUGCCAAAACAAAAUCAUCGAAAUGUUUUGUUUUGUACCAAAAAUGUCAAAAAUGAAUGCAAAAUAUUUUUCUCGAAAAUUCACCAAAUAGGUAAAUCUAAACUUCCGUAGAAAUGGGCAUAAUUCUAUCGGAGCGAAGCUAAUCCAGCAAGGACCAAUUACCUCUUUCUCUCUAAAUUGUGAGAAUUUGAAAGAGGAACCGAGAAAAGAGUCAAAAAAUCUUAUCAAGAGAAUCUGGCUUUUGAAAAAAUCGCUCAUUUUGUAGAGAAAUCGGUUUAUUUUUUUUUAUUGAACUGCGAACCGCAUUCAAAAAAAUCCUGCCCUAGACAUCUUUGGAUUUUACCCUCUUAUAGAUGUUCAUUGCUCAAGUCGUGAAGUCAAACAUCAUUGACCUUCUUCGAGUGUAAAUCCAGAUGGGUCUUUUUUCAAUUUUUUUUUUUUUUUUUUUUUGAAGAUUUGAUGAAGCAUAAAAAAAUUUAUUGAUUAAGACUUUGACAAAUUGUCAGAUUUUUGGGCCAAUUUUUAACUCCCUCUCUUAGCGAGAGCUCUGAAUAUAAAAAUUUUCCAAUGUUUCUUAUUUUUGUUGUUGUUGUUUUAGUCUACGUAGAAGACUAUUGAAGAAUGUUUGCGGUUGUAAAAAUUUUUUUACAAAUUUUUUAAUGAAAUUCAAGUCCAACUCUCAAUUCUGAAUCGCUCCAUCUCUGGUAAAAUUAGAAGUCUUGAAGUGCAGUGCUAGGAUAUAAAUUGAGUAACCGAAAAAUUUAUUUUAAAAAUCAAGUGUUUAUGAAUAAGGUUGAGAGUGAGCAAAUCACAACCUUCGUCUUCCAACUAUAGUUGGAUUUUUUGGGAAUUCCUCCCCUAUUUCUUCAUCAUUAGUCAAAUUUUGAAAGGCAAAUGGGUUUUAUUUUAUAGAUCCAGUAUCAUUUUUGUCUUCAAGUUUCAAAAAAUCACCUACUUAAAGUAUAUUUUUUUAAAAUCGAGACAAAUUUUUAUUAUUUAAUAAAAAUACAAUUUGAAGCUUCUCCUGCCACAAGAAAUUUCAGGCUUUUCAAAAAUAUUUUUUUAGUUUCACAAAAAUUCAAGAAAAAAUUGUCAGAAAAAUGAUAAUUUUUUUUCUUAAAAGUUGGCUGAGAUUUUUGAUGUUCAUUCUCUUUCCUUCCUCCCACCGAACGUUUUUAGAAAAACUUUUAUUAAAACAUGCUUUUACAAGAGCGAAUGUCUUUCAAGUUUAUUAAGUACUUAUUCAAUAUUUUACUAUAGAACCAUUCCUUUUUAGGGGUCCUUAUGAUGUGUAAUUUUUUCGUCAUGGAUCUCAAAAUAUUGUCUUAUACUUACAUUAAUUGCAAAAGUUGUAUUUUAAUUAUGAUAUAUUUACUUAAAUAGAUAUAAAUAUUGUACUCGUAAACACUUCCUCGAGAUUUCAAUCGCAAGUUUUUCUCAUUCUUUAGAGAAAACUCUUAACCUUAUUGGCUAAUUAAAAAA